AUUGAACGCUGGCGGCAUGCCUUACACAUGCAAGUCGAACGGUAACAGGUCUUCGGAUGCUGACGAGUGGCGAACGGGUGAGUAAUACAUCGGAACGUGCCCGAUCGUGGGGGAUAACGCAGCGAAAGCUGUGCUAAUACCGCAUACGAUCUACGGAUGAAAGCGGGGGGAUCGCAAGACCUCGCGCGGACGGAGCGGCCGAUGGCAGAUUAGGUAGUUGGUGGGAUAAAAGACUUACCAAGCCGACGAUCUGUAGCUGGUCUGAGAGGACGACCAGCCACACUGGGACUGAGACACGGCCCAGACUCCUACGGGAGGCAGCAGUGGGGAAUUUUGGACAAUGGGCGAAAGCCUGAUCCAGCCAUGCCGCGUGCAGGAUGAAGGCCUCCGGGUUGUAAACUGCUUUGUACGGAACGAAAAGUACUUCUCUAAUACAGGGGCGAAUGACGGUACCGUAAGAAU
rnacentral:rRNA from 1 species